AGAGAUGGUGCUUGUCCUAGUCCACUGCCAGUCGGGGCAGAACCCCCAAGGACAGGAAGCCAAGUCCAGGACCCAGGAGUUACUGAUGUCCCUGCCUGAAAGAUGGGGAAACAGACCCAGAGCGGCAAACACGUGGGGGUCACAGAGCUGGUGAGACUAGAGAUCCAAACUCCACCUAUUAGUUUUUGGGUUUUUCUUUUUCUUUUUCUUUUGAGACAGGCUGUCACUAUGUAGUUCAGGCUGGCCUUGAACUCACUAUGUAGCCCAGGCUGGACUCAAACUCGAAAUGAUCCUCCUGCCACAGCCUCCCGAGUGCUGGGAUAAAAGUGUACACCACCACAAUCGGCUUCUACCUAUUAGGUGCUGAAGCUGCUCCUCAUCCACCCAUCCAGCCAUCUCCCUUUUCCUGAUUUUCUGGACAAUUCAGGAGGCGGGUGUGGUCCUUAUUCUGCCCAUCCUGGGGGUCUGGCAGACUUCUCUCCACGUCCACUUCAGCUCCCCAAGUCAGUUUCCACCCAAGAAAGUGGGGCGGGGCUUACAGGUCCAAAAGCCUCCAGUGAUGGAGAAGAGUUUAGUGCCACCCGCCGUCACCUCCCCAGGUGCACGGGGACAGCUUGUUCCUUGCUCACUCUGACCUAUUUGCCCCACUCUUGGAGCCUGGCCUGCACACAGGUCAGGGUUCACCAAGCCAGGGACGGAAGGCAGGGGUGGCACCAGCGCUCUGCCGGGCAUUGGUGUGACUUUGUCCCCCGCCCCUCUGGACUUUUCCUGCUCUGUGUGACCCGUGGUGGGAAGAGCUGGAAGCACUUGCCUGGUUUCUUCUAGAAACUGACUCCUUUGCUGAUUUUGCUCUGUGUACUUUUGCUGUAAUAAAUCAGUCUCAGUGUGGGUGA